UGGGGAUUAUUGCACAAUGGGCGCAAGCCUGAUGCAGCCAUGCCGCGUGUAUGAAGAAGGCCUUCGGGUUGUAAAGUACUUUCAGUCGGGAGGAAGGUGGUAAGGUUAAUAACCUUAUCAAUUGACGUUACCGACAGAAGAAGCACCGGCUAACUCCGUGCCAGCAGCCGCGGUAAUACGGAGGGUGCAAGCGUUAAUCGGAAUUACUGGGCGUAAAGCGCACGCAGGCGGUUGAUUGAGUCAGAUGUGAAAUCCCCGGGCUUAACCCGGGAAUUGCAUCUGAUACUGGUCAGCUAGAGUCUUGUAGAGGGGGGUAGAAUUCCAUGUGUAGCGGUGAAAUGCGUAGAGAUGUGGAGGAAUACCGGUGGCGAAGGCGGCCCCCUGGACAAAGACUGACGCUCAGGUGCGAAAGCGUGGGGAGCAAACAGG
rnacentral:rRNA from 1 species